CUACCUAGACUUUGGUAUUUCCUACUUCCGCUGCAUUGACAAAAGUAUCAUUUUUUUUUUAAUUCAGACGUGGUUCCAUUGUUGCACAUUUUGUCUUUCCCAAACGCUGUUUUCACUCUUUCACAUUAGAUUCUUUCUCAAAUUAAAGCAGUUAGACGUUUACUGAAGACCCCUGCCGAAUUAGGUCAUCCCUACGCAAUGAGAUGACCUUUUGUUACAUCACUCUUUGGAAAAUCCGCAGUGAUGUAUUCUAUAAUUCAGACCGGUGAAGUGGAAUAGACUUACAUAACGAAAACAUUGCGCACGGCCGUGUGGUCUAAGAUGUAGAAACAUAAUGAUGGGUGAAUGCGGUCACUCCGUUCUCAUUUGGAGGCAGGAGCUUAUUGCAUCCUAUUGGAACUAUGCAUUUUUAUAAAAUGCUAAUUGCAUGCUUUUUUUUUUUUUCACAUGCAUACUCAUUAAACUCGUUCUUGUUUCUUCAGAUUUUUGUGGUUAAGUAAGUGAGAAAAAAUAUUUGACACUAUAGGCUUUCAAUACCAUUUUAUUGUGGUGGUUGGCCAAGUGGGUGUGUGCGUGUGCAAGCCAAAGAGCGCAUGAUGCAUUCUGACAGCUGUGCAUAGUAAAGAGAGAGAGCAAGACAAUCCGCCAAUCUGAUCGCGAGAGGCCAGGUUGUAUAAAAGGGCGGAGCUCCAGAGAAAACUUCCUCUUCAAGCUGCUACUUCAUUCGCUGGGCGCUCAUGCUGUUCGCAGUGUGGCUGGCACGCAGUCCUCUGCAUUUAAAGACCAACUUUGGCUGCUAGAAAUGCUGUAAUUUCUCUUCGUAGCCAAACUUUGAAGGUCCUGCUGGUUUUUCCAUUCCAGCUGUUUUUGGACUUUGCCUUGGAGCAACUUUGACGGAAUCAUCUCUCCUUUUCCCGAACAAGGUUCACUCUUCAACCUUCAGGAGGUUCCUUUAUAGCAGCGUCGUGCACAAAUCCAGCAGCGAUGAUCAUCAGGCUUGGCAGACUGACUCCUGGAUAUUUCCGUCUCCUGCAGAGGCAGGUAGCAGGUGAGAUUCAGGCCCCGACGCACGACCGCUCCGUCAACCAGAUCGCCAUGAUGCUGGCCAUCAUGGGCCUCAGCCUGUCCUACUACAGUGCCAAACAGAUGACUGAGAAGGUUCGCCACGAACCCGCCCCGUGAACUCGGACUGAUGGCGUCCGGUGAAGACGAAGCCAAACUGAAGAUGUUCAGAUGUCUCUGACUCUGUCACACUACCUUUCUAUAACCUCCAGGGAUCACACACACCACGGGACUUCCGCUUAGGGGUUCUCUUGCUUUAGUUUAGCUCUCAAUGGAUCUGGAAGGGGUUGUGGUCUGAGUUUUGAUAGUUGACUUGAUACAUGCAUCAGAGGGUCAGUCAGUUCUGCUGUAGGUUCAAAACUCAAGAGCUCAAUCUGGAGCUCAACUCUGAGCCAUAAUGUGUUUUAAAAGGGAAGGACCUCUGUGUUUGAGAUGUACCAAGCGACUAUUAAAAGCAGGCCCAAUGCACAAAAGAUGCUGUUGAGGAACAUCAAAGCCUUGAGGACUUAUAGUGGAGGUGCUGCUCUGUAAUACUACACUUGGUGUUAGACACUUUAGGAAAUUUACUACACAAAGAGCGUUUGAGGACCUUGUUAAAGUGACUUGUUCUUUACAAAAUAUCUUCAUAUCUUGUCAACCCUUUAGAUGUUAAUGCCGACUUUGUGUGCAAUUGCAUGAGUUUGAAGCAGUUUUUUAGUGAAACCAAUCUGUAAUGUUGUUUCUAAUACUUUUUUAUGAUAAUGUGAUUAAGGUGAAUGUACUGUAUGUUGUUAUAUUUUUAAGACACAAUGAUCAAAUAAAGCUGUGAAUAUUUUGAGCACAAUCAAGUCAUGGAAAGCAAAUCGUGACUCAAGAUUUAGAAGAACAAAUGUCAUUCCUGCUGAAUCGAGUUUUACGCAAACCAUAUGAAAGUUUUUCCUGUCGGCAAAAGCGUGCUGUUGAACAGGAAGUGGGCACAGCCUCAGGCAACAGCUUCCUCUAUCUGCACGCGAUAUGUAUCAACGAGCCUGCUGCAGAUGGCUUAAUGUCUGACCCGUUUACCAAAUUCAAUAAACAUCAAUUAAACAUUUGCACACAGAAUAACUUGAGGUGUGUCUGCUUUGUCAUUCCCCUCAAAUGCUAAGCAAGUUACGCCUGAAAUUUACUCACACAAGAACAAAAACGCAGAUGCUAUUAAGCUAUCAAGAUUUUUUUAAAAGCAUUAUGCUUUAAAUUGUGUUUGAAUGCCAUUUAUAUUACGUUGCAUUCUCACAGUUUCCAAAACGAAUGCUAUGAGGGUGUUAACUUUUUUUUUUUUUUUUUUUUAAGAGAAUGUUGCUUAAUUAAAUUAAAUUAACCAUCAUGUAGUGUUCUGGCCAUUUUAUCCUAGAGAGGAUUUUCCUUUACCUAAAAAAAAUGUUAGGUAAUGUUAUCACAUUAGACGGAAAUUUACAGACUUUCCAAAACAUCUCAAACAAUGAUGAUUUUGUACUUUUUGGGGAUUUUUGGGGGGAUCUUGUUACACUCAAAAAUGACUGACCUACAAAAAAUGCAUAUGACAUUACUACCAAAUUGAUUUGCUUGCUUUCAAUUAGCACAGGGCUUUUAUUUCUUUUUUAACUGAUUGAUUGUAGAAAUCAUUGAUCUGAGCGCAUGCACCACAGAAUUUUCAGUGAAAACUGACAAAAUGAUUCAAAAAUAAUGCUAUUUUCACUCAAAACCUGAGGUGCAUAAGUUUAGAUCAGUAAGGCCUAUGAUCAAUCAGCUCCAAAAACAAAUACAAACCUGUACUAAGUAAAAAAAUUAGUUGAUGACAAUAUCCAAUCCAAGAUUUGCUGAUACAGCAUUGCAAGAGAUUUACAAAUAAGUUUUAAAAGUCUGGUCAGUUUUUAUUUUAGCACAGUGGUGGUUUAAUGAAAUGGUGGUUUUAAAAAAAAAAACUUUCACCACAUGAGUGUUGAGGUUUGUUGCUGCAGUCAUGCAACAACAAUGUGCUACAAAUGUGUUGGCUAAGCAUUUGUGUUUGUCUAGUUGAGUGUUUCUAACCUUUCCACUAAAAUCCUGCAUGUUAUCAUAGAACCUAUAAUUUUUAUCAGACAGAUUUAGCACCAGUGCAAUGUGUUUGUGAGAUUACUUAGAAUGUUCUGAGAAUCAAAACCUUAUUAUAGUCAUCCUUAAACUCAGAAGUGUUUCCGAAACUCAAUUCUUGAGUCUGUUGAGCGUGUGAAGGACACGAGGAAGUUGGAAAUGUCAUGCAAUUUGCUUGCAUGCAUGCUGGUUAUGCUAUAAAUGGCUGAUUAGUGGUGGGAGGUGUUGCUGGUUGACUUUUUAAAAGUCAAAAGUUGAGUGUUGGGUCCUUAAAGAUGAAGCGUGCAAUUGUUUUAUGUUAUAAUACUUUGGUGUAUCUAAGCUAAAUAGUUUUUUUCCUCAACAAUAGUGGUACUUUCAAAAUAUUGCUGUUUGAGCAUGCAAACCAGUCUGGCACUUUGCUCAGUCAAACUGUUUUAAACAUUUACAUUUUUAUUUGAUGGAGCAGAAUUUAUACACUUCAACUUGCCUGCUUUAUUUUGGUUAAAACCUAAUGGUGAAGUGCAUUUCUGUAAGUCUAUAUUGUGUUUUUUUCAACUGCUAGCUUUUCCUUAUUAGCAAGCAGUUAAUGCAACAUUGCUGUCUGUAUGUGCUCAGAAGUGUUCGCAUGGAUGCUCCGGGCAGAUGUGAUGUCCUGUGACAGGCCGAGGCCGCAUUGCGUGCCACGUGUUAUUUCUGCCUAUCACCUUUAGCUCCUCCCUUUCCCAUGCUGCUCUCUGAUCACUGGGCAAAUUUGCACAAAAAACACUGCUGGGACAGUUUUAACAUGCUAGUUUAGGACAUGAAUCACAACAUGCUCAUCCCAUUGGUUGUCUGGUGAUGCAUCAUAAUGUCGUCGCAGUUGCAAGCUGCGGAAACGAAGGCAUGUGGAUCACGUUGGCGGCAAUGUAUUGCACAUGGUUGCUUUAAAAAAUGUUUAAAAAUAGAGAAAAAUAAUUUAAGAUGAGACCUUUUUUGUGUUUGUUUUGAUGGUGGUUUGUGGAUAUGAAAGAGGAAUCAGUGAGACUGAUAUUGUAUAUAUGAAUGUUUUAUAUCAGUGAAUGAGACUUUAAAAUAUGAAGGUCUAAAAUGUCAGUUCACUGACUUGUUUUGUUGCUCAUGUAAUGUUUAAUUAAAUUAAUUUCAAUCAUG